rnacentral:rRNA from 1 species
UACGUAGGGUGCAAGCGUUAUCCGGAAUUAUUGGGCGUAAAGAGCUCGUAGGCGGUUUGUCGCGUCUGCCGUGAAAGUCCGGGGCUCAACUCCGGAUCUGCGGUGGGUACGGGCAGACUAGAGUGAUGUAGGGGAGACUGGAAUUCCUGGUGUAGCGGUGAAAUGCGCAGAUAUCAGGAAGAACACCUAUGGCGAAGGCAGCUCUCUGGGACGGUACUGACGCUGAGACGCGAAAGCGUGGGGAGCGAACAGG